rnacentral:rRNA from 1 species
ACCUACGGGACGCAGCAGUGAGGAAUUUUGGACAAUGGGGGCAACCCUGAUCCAGCCAUGCCGCGUGAGUGAAGAAGGCCUUCGGGUUGUAAAGCUCUUUUGUCUGGGAAGAAAAGGCGUCGGCUAACACCUGGCGUUCUUGACGGUACCGGAAGAAUAAGCACCGGCUAACUACGUGCCAGCAGCCGCGGUAAUACGUAGGGUGCGAGCGUUAAUCGGAAUUACUGGGCGUAAAGCGUGCGCAGGCGGUUCGUGAAGUCCGAUGUGAAAGCCCUGGGCUCAACCUAGGAACGGCAUUGGAAACUGGCGGGCUAGAGUGUGGCAGAGGGGGGUGGAAUUCCUGGUGUAGCAGUGAAAUGCGUAGAGAUCAGGAGGAACACCGAUGGCGAAGGCAGCCCCCUGGGCUGACACUGACGCUCAGGCACGAAAGCGUGGGGAGCAAACAGGAUUAGAUACCCCGGUAGA